ACCAUCUCUAAUCCUCCCUACCUCCUUCCACCAAAAAGAACAACUCCGGCCCCCAACCUCCAACCUCCCUCCAACCUCGCCAUAACGGGCGACUAGAACACUAUACCACAAACCUACUCUAUCUACCAACAUCCUCCAACACCAUUUACCUAACAAAGCAACAUUAAACUCCUUCAACUUCCUAACCCCCAACCCUCCAG
rnacentral:lncRNA from 1 species